GAGAGAGGAGGAGAGACAGAUAACGAGAGAAAAGAGAGGCAUCAUCCUCCAAACGAAAUGUUCCCGAGCACUGGAUUCAAAAAGUUGGAGCUCUUUGAAGAUCCAUCCGCCAGCUCGUCAGCAUGGCAACUGUGCUUCGCCAUCCUGCGUUUCGCUGUCUCCUUCGUGACCGUGCCAGGCUCUAAGUAGGCACGUCCCCUAGAGAGUAAGCAGCAGAUGCCCCAAAGUCGAUGCCACUCAACGCGGGUACGAUGGCAUCUGCUCAGUCAUAAUGGAGAUAUGCGACAUGUCUUGUUACUCUCGUUGGCACGCGCCAACCUUCGGCAGUGUGCCAGGAUCUCUGCACUGCAGUAUGCCGCUGGGAAGUUGGCGGUGGCUUGGAAAUGGCAGAGUGCCAGCAUGUUCCUGCGGUAACCAGCCCCUGACGCAUGUCACUUGGCAAAGACAAAGAGCCCUAGGGACGAAACACAAAACAAGAUUGAAAAACACAGUGAUCCGACAGCUUAAUUAACACUCGCAGAGUUUGUUGGGUUAAUUAGUGUGACAGAUUUGGUGAGGAGGAAUAUGGCAGGAACACUUGUGAGAACAAAAGUGAUGAGCAACCCAGACUGAUGGAAUGUCAUCGGAUGCCAUCAGUAACUCUGCCAACCCUGUGCCAAUGGCACUUUACAUUCAACAAGGUUUGUAAAAGGAUAAACGGAAUGAAAAGGAAAACAUCAAGAAACUGUCAUUCAAAAACAAGUUUGUUUCAAAUUCUGGACAAGACAGAAGAUUGAGGAAACAAGUGUGGAAACAGGAAGAAGCUAAAGAAACCACAGGCCUUGACUUAUCAUACAGUGACUCAACAGAUCAAUUCAAACACUAAAGUCAUUAUGGAAUAUGGAUUUUAUGUACUACAAAAACAAAACAGAAUGGUUUGCACAAAUGAACACAAGCAAGAGUGAAUUUUCUCUGGUACGUCGGGAACACCAAAAGGAUACAUGUUGGCGGGUGUUAGUAUGGUGAAAUUUACCAGGAGGAUGCACUACUUUUGCAAUUUUAUGGACCUACUAGAGCUUUUCAAAUCCAAGGACAGGACCUUAAACCAUCAUACCUGUAUACGCAGUAAUGAGUGAUUUUGUGCUUGAAUACCUGUUUUGAGGAUCCUCGAAACUUCCUGUUGAGUCAGGGAGAAGGUGAUGAGAGUGAGUGGAGAAUUCAGUCCCUCACUGGAUGUGUUUGACAUUGUAGAGGAGCAUAAAUAAUGCAGAUUGUCUCUCCUCCUCUUCCUUCUGGUGCUUUCUGAAGGAAGGGAUUUACACACCUUUGUGCUUCGAAUCUUUCAUUGGCAUUGUUCUCGUUAAAGCGACGCAGGAUUGGUUCCGAAACGGGCAUUGUUUUCAGCAUAACCUUCGAUAAACAAGUUCAAAUUAGACAUUAACAACCUCAUGAAAUGAGCCGAUUAAUUUGCGGGGCUUUUUUUCGCUUUUAUGUCUUUCUUUGUACCGAUUGUGGACAAUUGUGUACGGAUAUGCUAAUCACGCUGUAUUAAUGAGCUAUUUCUGCUGCAGUAGUCCUGCAAUGGAGUGACAGAGACGAAGAUGGGAUUUACUAGAUGUAAAGAGAGAAAAAGAGCAAGUGAGAGACAGAGAGAGAAUUCAUUAAUAUCCUGAGCUUAAUCAUGGCACAUGAGAUUGGCUGUAUGCAUACCUCAUUUGCAUCUCAUUAAAUUGCUCAUGCACCUGCAGAGAGAGGGGAGAGGGGCAGAGGACGGCACAACGAGAAAUGAGGGUCUUGUUUCAAUAUGCAAAAUGUUUCUUAAGCAGUUGCUUCAUUUUAUUUUGAAAUAUAUAUAUUUAUAAUUACAGUAUAAUGUGCAUUUAAAAGAAUGUUUUUUGGGUUUUGUUUUUUUUUGAUGAUGCAUUCCAUUUUUCUAUUUACUUGCCAUAUUUUUUAUGAAUAUUAAAAAAUGCAUUUAUUUUCUUUCAUGAAUGUUCUACAUACAUACAUUAACACAUACACAUUGUUUUAAUCACAUAAUGUACUUAUAUUCCAUGCCAAUGCUCUGUGACAUUUAACACUUAAAAGCACUCUUUGGGAAAAUAAAAAUGAGAUUUUAAGAUAUCGGUGCCUAAAAUAAACCAUAUGUUUCAGAGGAUGUAAAGUCCAGCACAGGCCAGCAGUUUAACGUAUGCAUGAUUAGUAUGCAGCUCUUUGCGUUCUUUAAUAGAACUCAGGGUGAAGACUAUUGUCUCUGAUUCCAGGAUGUGCCAUCUGCCUGGCUUCAGAGACUGGCCUUCCUCUUUGUGUUUUGCACAAUGGGCUAUUCUGCACUGGACAUCCACACAUAACUGAAAUAAAUCAUGCCCCAGCCAACAGGCCACCAGAGGACCACUGCAAUAUUUUCCAUGAAAGAAAAGAGAAGACUGCACGCGGCAUUGGGGAGAGAUUAGAAAAAUGUGAAAUUUUCCAUUACAGAAACAUAAUGACAAACACAGUUGGAGGACAGAAAUGGGAAGGAGAGGAGAAGAACAAGACGGGAUAGAAAAGGAAAACUGAAAGGAAAUGAAUAAAUGAACUUUAAAUAUUACUCCCACUCACCUCCUACGUUUAUCAUAACGUCAUUUUCCUUAAAUACUUUGUAAAUAAAGUGCAAAACAGCAUCCGACCUCCAGACCCAAGAACGGCCAUUCUCCAGUGUGACUUUAAUGUAAUUACUCUGUGACGGAUAUAUUUAAAUCUGUAUGUAAACACCGGAGCAGCAAGGUCUACGUAUGAUAGAAAUGUCUGCAUCGAUUACCUGCUAUGAAUGUGAAAUGUUUAAUCUCGUUAAAAAUCUCAUGCCUAAAUUAGGCUCCCUCAGCAGCUUUUUAAAUUGGGCUAUCCAUCAUAUAUAAUGAAGAAGUGACAGAGUGUGUAUGCAGGGGGUUCUAAUAUAAAACUGUUUUAAAAUAUUCUCAUAUUAGCCUUGCUGUGGCGAAUGGCACAGGCUAGCCGGUGAUGUGGUAAACAAUAAAACAGAAGCCAGAAUAAGCCCUGAUCCAAAGCUUUUGUAUAGACCGAGUACCAAAGCAUUGCUGAGGGACAAACGGAGCUUCAAGGAUUUAUUCUCUUUUAAGAAACCAAAAGAAAGGGGGUAAAAAUAGAAAGAGGGAAAGACAUGUGGUGUUGGCCACCACCUGGUGAGAUGUCAUGUACGAUUAAGUGUGUGUUUGUCUGGCACGCUUCAUGCCGUUAUCAAGUGUGGACAGCUCAGCGCAACCACUACACUGCAUACUUUUCUUAUGCUAAUGACUUUGAUAGACCCCUCCUCACUGUUGGUGUACUUCUUGCUAUCCUGCCCACCUUUUCCUGUAGCAUGCCAACUUGUACCACUUUCUAAACCCUUCAAUAACUCACCCUAAACUAACAAUCGCACCACCAGUCUUAAAUCACUAACUCUACAUGGGGUGUAGGGUCUCAAAACCAUAUAACCAACCUUCAUACGCCAGACUCCCCAAGGUCAAAGGGUCAAAGAUUUAGCAUAAUUUAUCAUAUCAGUGCGAGAUAUUCACGGAAGCCACGCGUAGCCCGUUCAUGCUCCUGCUGCCUCUGAUUAGCAUCUCAUUUCACAGGCUUGAUUCUUAAAAAGCCCCCCCUACGCCCCCUUUCCACUAACAUGAUGGCUCAGUUCCUGCCCUGUAGAGACAGAUGCUCACCUAAAAUAUUAUACAGCAACCGUGUCAAACUGACAACCUGGGGGGGGGGGGGGGGUUUCUUAGUCAGCAAAUGUUUAGAUGUGGCAUUCUGCGUUUCGCGAUAUUACAAACAACAUUUCAGACAGGCUCGUAAACAUGAUAUUUUAUGCUGCAUUUUGGUUACAGUUAUGUUGCAGUACAAUGUUGUAGACUCCAUACAAAGAAUUUUUUAAAAAUGAUGUAAUUAAAAUACUAUUUAUAUUUUAAGUAUUGAUUAUUUUCAAAAACAACAACAACAAAACAAUAAUGAAUAAUGAACUAUAACUAAAGAAUGUGUUACAUUUACAUCUUAGUAUCAUGCAACCAG